rnacentral:rRNA from 1 species
AGUGAACGCUGGCGGUAGGCCUAACACAUGCAAGUCGAACGGCAGCACAGUAAGAGCUUGCUCUUACGGGUGGCGAGUGGCGGACGGGUGAGGAAUACAUCGGAAUCUACUUUUUCGUGGGGGAUAACGUAGGGAAACUUACGCUAAUACCGCAUACGACCUACGGGUGAAAGCAGGGGAUCUUCGGACCUUGCGCGAUUGAAUGAGCCGAUGUCGGAUUAGCUAGUUGGGGGGGUAAAGGCCCACCAAGGCGACGAUCCGUAGCUGGUCUGAGAGGAUGACACGCAACACGGGAACUGAGCCACGGCCCAGACUCCGACGGGAGGAAGCAGUGGGGAAUAUUGGACAAGGGGCGCAAGCCUGAUCCACCCAUGCGGGGGGGGGGAAGAAGGCCUUGGGGUUGUAAAGCCCUUUUAUGGGAAAAGAAAGGCAGCAAGUUAAUACCCCGCUGUUUUGACGGUACCAAAAGAAUAAGCACCGGCUAACUUCGUG